rnacentral:lncRNA from 1 species
GGUGAAGGAUUCAAUAACUAAAACAAGAAGAGAUGGUAGAAAGGGAGAGAGGAAGAAGAACAGAGACAGGGAGCAGAGAGGCAAACGGCUGAAGCCAACGUUAUAAUUUAAUCAAAAUUCAUCAACUGAGAAAUUACAAACCAAUGAUAGGUUUAAAUAAUGAAAACCUAGAAAUAUAGGGCCAAGCCCAUUAUUUAAGUCCUAAUUAAAAUACGUAAACUUAAAUAAAAGUCCAACUGAAACAAUAAUAAAAGUCCAACUAAAAUACUGAAACAAUAAUAAAAGUCCAACUAUAAGGAUGUCCUCAUCAACUCUCCCAGGGUGGGAGAAAACUCGACCCUGUCGAGUGGAUAUAUCACCGUAGACUCUCGUCAAUCUCCCAACCAUAAGCUGAGUGGUUGGGCAAGUUUCUUCCGGCGUCUGUAGAAAUGCGUCAGUGGCGGUCUGAACCUGGUGUCCUCACCAACUCCCCUCGGGUGGACGGGAGGCGAUCUGGGCCAAGGAAGAUCCUACUGACUCCGAUAAAGCUCUA